AUACUUACCUGGCGUGGGGGCUACCGUGAUCACUAAGGCGGUUCCCCCAGGGCGAGGCCCUUCCAUUGCACUUUUACAGGUGGGGUUGACCCCUGCGAUUGUCCCUAAUGUGGAUAACUCGGGCGCGUAAUUUUUGGUAGUCGGGACUGCGUACGCGCUGUCCCGG